GCUGUAUAGCUUUAGAUAUCUACUACAGAUCGAUUGUAGGAGCAGCACUUCUACAGCUUUAUGCACACAGAUAUAACAAAGGAGCAUUUUUCAAUAAAACCUUGUGAAAAUAUAUAUUUUUAAAGAUAUAAAAGCUGAAUGCAACUAUGUCUUUCUGCACAUUUAAGUAAAUCUUGGCAAAAUAGAGGGUUUAUUUUGUCCUCUGAACCAGCUGGUUCUUGCCUUAAAUGUUUGGAGUGUAUAGAUUAUAUACAGUGUAUUGUGUCAAAACAGGUGGGAAUAGGAUGUAGACUAAUUCAUAGCAUGCUGCAGACAGAGUGUGCUGUGUAUCAAAGCUGAGCUGCAGAGGAAGAGUGCUUAACAUCACCAGCUGGCCACUCUUCACUCUUUCACUACAGCUCUCCCCCUCUCCUCUAUUUUGUCUGUUUAUCUUUUUAACCAAACAGGUUGCUACGCUCGCUCGCACUGUGGUAUGGACCGUCUGAGUUCUUUCUGACGACAAGUUACACUUUUCCCUCUGUAGGACUCUCGGAGAGACGAGGAUUAGGAGCAGCAGUGGAUUUAAAUGUUUGAAUGUCCUCCUAUGAAGCCAGCUGGUUAAAAUGCUUAACUGGAGCUCUUCAUGCACCGCUCUCUGUGUAUGACCGUGCAGCUAGUGGAGAGCCUCACCUUAGGGAGAGCAGAAAUAACUCAGGCCGUGAUGUGCAUGUGUGUGCGCCACCCACAUACACACAUCCACCCACCACCAAUUUUUCAAACCAGUUUGCUGGUCUUGCCCUCGUCUUUUUCCUCCAAAUGUAACUGUGGGAGGCAUUACCAAACAGUAUGAAGCUGCUCGAAAGUCCAGAUUUUAAUGAAGUUUGCAAAACUUCCCAGACAUAUUGAGAUCUGAUGAUUCAGAAAGUUUUGCAUGUUUCAAAGUUAAAAAAAAGACACGGGAGGGGGGAUAGUUUGUGUCAAUUUGUCAGAUAUUUGUGGUGAUUUCUGCUUUAGCUCUUGUCAAACCUUUUCCAGCCUUUCUCACUGACCAUGAUUGCUCUUAAUUGCUGUAAUGAUCACUCUCUGGGCCGCUUCCAGGUCUCCCUUUACAGAAGGGUGAGCUUGUCCUUUUGUCUGGACAGAAUAUCUGGCAACCUCUCCAUCUGAUGUCGACUCUUGGCUUUGAGGUUGUUCAACACUUUAUGACCUGGAGGAUGACAGGCCUCCCCUUCAAGCACUGGAUUAAAAGGUAUUUGGACAUUGUUGCCAGACACACAGACAGACACUCUUAUUAACAGCUUUGGGCAGCCCUAACCUGAAAAUCUCUGACCCUACGGAGGAAGCAGAAGCCAUUUAGCGAGGCUUACAAACCCCCUCACAUCUUUGAUUCCUCAAUUAAACGUGUCCAUCUCUUGUAAAGAGCGUUUCCUUUCUGGUUAUCUAUUUCUUGCCCACAUUGUCUGAUUGCAGUGCAUCUUUUAAGUGUCACUAAAAAGGACUCACUAGGCUUUUCAAUCAGACAGAGAGAAGCUGCAUUCUAGUUGAGCUGAUUACUGCAGCCAGGCAAACACAGUGGGUUGCUAUGCGUGGGUCGUGGGAUCAGGGGAUCUGAAAAUCUUUACAACUUUUAAUAAAACUUCAACUGCUGCCAAGAGUAGGCAAGCUAUUCCCCGAGUUACUUUGAAUCAACAACGGAUCCUUCCUGUGGUUUUCUCAGAUUAUUGUUCCAUCUCAAGUCUUUCUCUCAGUUCUGGUUGGCUGUAUCUGGCACAGAGACAUGAUGAGCUUUUACCAGUAUAACACCUAUUCUGGAUUGGACCCCAGGACUGUAUCAAACUCUCUCACUUGUCUAAUGAUUCAGGUCCAGUGAUUUCACUCUGAACUUUGAAAAUCUGUUAAAUUUCUGUGCCACAAACCUGUGGAAAUAUGUUUAAAAAAUACUGUAGAUCUGGGGUGCCAGUGUAGCUUGGUGGAUAAAUAGUGCGAAGCAGGUGGUCCAAGAUUAAAUCCAACCUGUAUACUUAAACAGUAUAUAAUCCCCCUCACCGUUUUCCCUGAAUCCUACUAUAUCCACAGUCCUAUCCUCUAAGUAAAUGCAUUAAAAAUAAACCUGAAAUACUCUUACAAAAAUGAAACAAAAACACCAAGAUCAACCAUCCAUUUAUGGAAGGUUAAAGCUCCAGUAUGGAACUUUUGGUUUGUGUUGACUUUGGUGCCCCCUCUGGCCAUUGUAGUCUUUGCUUAUCUUGCUUUCUUAAAGCUUAACUCAUUCAGUGCCAAUGAUGGAUUUAACGGAUUUUGACGGAUUUUUCAGUUUUUUUGUUUUCUGACAGUGGACGCUCCUCCUCAACAUGCGACUAAGUUUGGGGUCAUUCUGACCGCAGAAAAGCCAACAAAUACGUCAUAACCAUGUUACAAUAACAAGAAACAAGUACACGCCAGUGAGAAGUGUGUCAUCAAGUGUGCCAAUUAACCUAAUUGUGAAGUGUUUUUUCUCUAUGAGGAGAGUAGGAAAAUGCUGAAGUCAUUAGCCAAGAGCAAACGGUCUCGGUGCAUCGGCUCCUUUGGGCGCGGUGCUACCGUCCCUGGAUCCAGAAUCAAAGAAACAAUUUUCCGGCGUGUUGUUGUACUGAUGGAAUUCAGUGACAGUCUCAGCGAGGAGGGCGCGAGCAGUCCAUGUUGUUUACAGAGUGACCUAUCACAAUCGGAUCUCAAGAGUGAUAAGGAGUGGUGUCUGAGGAAGGAGGACCUUGAUGCCAACGAUGAAGUAGUUUGAAGUGAAAUGAAAUAGACGAUUAGAGUUCUGCUUGAAAGUCUAUCCUUCAUAAAAAUGUGUUUUCCUAGGUUUCUUUUUCCAGAUCGGUAAAGAUGAUAUGACCACGCUGCAUUGAGCAGGCAAUAAUUAAACACAGGAGUAGGUAAGAGACUAACUUUUUUUCUGGUGAAAGAAGAGAAUCACCCCUUUGUUGUGAGAUAUUUCACUUAAUUCUAGUCCAAGCACAAGAUAAUCUGUGGGUUCUGAAAGAUAAGGACAUUUGUAUUGCAGUCAAUGGUGGCACUGGGUGGAAGUUGCAUUAAUGAACCUGGCAGUGAAUGAGUUAAGUAGUGUCUUUUGACAACAGAUCUCAUCCUGCUGACUUUGACAAGUUUUAAAGGGCUCAUUUGCUACUAAAUAUCAUGAAAAUGCAUCAGUGUGAAUUUCAGACCAUUUCAUAGACAUUAAAAAAUAUAUUUCCUCUGAGUGAGGGUUUCAACUGAAAAAUAGAUGAAUUGAUGUCAUCAUUACAAAAACACGGUUGAAUCAGGUGACUGUACUUGGUUAAUUUGAGGUCAGCAUAAAAUUGUCCCAGCGUGAACUCCAGCCUCUUGAUUGGCUGAUGAUUGUUAACCACACACACACACACACACACACACACACACACACACACACACACACACACACACACACACACAC
rnacentral:lncRNA from 1 species